rnacentral:rRNA from 1 species
UCGGGAAUAUUGCACAAUGGAGGAAACUCUGAUGCAGUGACGCCGCGUGCAGGAAGAAGGUUUUCGGAUUGUAAACUGCUUUAGACAGGGAAGAAAAAAGACAGUACCUGUAGAAUAAGCUCCGGCUAACUACGUGCCAGCAGCCGCGGUAAUACGUAGGGAGCAAGCGUUAUCCGGAUUUAUUGGGUGUAAAGGGUGCGUAGACGGGCAAACAAGUUAGUUGUGAAAUCCCUCGGCUUAACUGAGGAACUGCAACUAAAACUAUUUGUCUUGAGUGCGGGAGAGGAAAGUGGAAUUCCUAGUGUAGCGGUGAAAUGCGUAGAUAUUAGGAGGAACACCAGUGGCGAAGGCGACUUUCUGGACCGUAACUGACGUUGAGGCACGAAAGUGUGGGGAGCAA